UGUCGGUGGGAGCUGGGUUCCUGCAUGGAAGGUACUUGGUUGUGUGUUGUUUGUUUAAAAACUUGGGUUUGAAGGGGAGUCUCUUCUUAGGUAUUGCUUUUAAGGCCUGUGUUUAAUAGCCAGAGUGCUUCUGAAUGUUUAGAGGGUGACAGAGACUAUCUGGAGGCCCAGCAGAAGAGGAGCAGAUGCCCAACGGCUGGCUCUGAAUAUACUCUUCUUUGGGAAGAGACAUGGAGGAAAUGUCUGACAGAUUUGCAUGACAGAGAGCGGUGCUUGCUUGGAGAAAUUGCUGUCUAACUGAUCCUUUGUGGACUUCCGACCAAAACCAUCCAGUGCAACAUAUGGU